GUGAGUCAUCGAAUCUUUGAACGCACCUUGCGCCCUUUGGUAUUCCGAAGGGCAUACCUGUUUGAGUGUCAUUAAAUUCUCAACCUUGAAAUGCUUUUUUGUAUUUCAAGGCUUGGAUGUGGGGGUUGCGGGCUUUAACAAGUCGGCUCCUCUGAAAUGUAUUAGCUGGGUUUGCGCCUUCAGCCUAUUGGUGUGAUAAUUAUCUACGCCUUUCAGGUCGUUAGCGUGUAUAAGCCUUCCAGCUUCUAACCGUCCGCAAGGACAACACUUGACCAUUUGACCUCAAAUCAGGUAGGACUA
rnacentral:misc_RNA from 1 species